ACAGGAAAUCUCCUAUGUAAUAAAACAGC
rnacentral:piRNA from 1 species